rnacentral:rRNA from 1 species
UACGUAGGGUGCAAGCGUUAAUCGGAAUUACUGGGCGUAAAGCGUGCGCAGGCGGUUUUGUAAGUCUGAUGUGAAAUCCCCGGGCUCAACCUGGGAACUGCCUUUGUGACUGCAAGGCUAGAGUACGGCAGAGGGGGGUGGAAUUCCGCGUGUAGCAGUGAAAUGCGUAGAUAUGCGGAGGAACACCGAUGGCGAAGGCAACCCCCUGGGCCUGUACUGACGCUCAUGCACGAAAGCGUGGGGAGCAAACAGG